rnacentral:rRNA from 1 species
AUGCAAAGCACUCUGAAAAGAGGGUGAAAAGAACCUGAAACCGUUAUGUUGAGAGCGUAUUGCAGCAGAGUGAAGGGUGCGUUUUGUUCAGCUUGCGCUUGCGUAGGUGUACUCAGAACGUUAUCCGCCAGUCGUGGGCUUCUGGUGGUCGAUUUAUUGGCUGCUGGGGGUUGAGGGAUCCCCUUUAUGGGUGAGGACGAACUCUGGAUAAUGCUGCGAUUCGACCCGUCUUGAAACACGGACCAAGAAGUCUAGCGUGCAUGCGAGUCAAAGGGUGUAAAAACCUGAGGGCGCAGCGAAAGCAAAACCUAAAAACGUUUUUUAGUUUGAGGCGGCAUACGAUCGUUGAUUGUAGGUCCGACCUUGAGCAUGUAUGCUAGGACCCGAAAGAUGGUGAACUAUGCUUGAGUAGGGUGAAGCCAGGAGAAAUCCUGGUGGAGGCUCGUAGCGGUGCUGACGUGCAAAUCGCUCGUCUAACUUGAGUAUAGGGGCGAAAGACUAAUCGAACCAUCUGGUAGCUGGUUUCCUCCGAAGUUUCUCUCAGGAUAGCGGACCGAUAUGAUGUUGUUGUGUGC